CUGUUUGCUAGUUCUGUGAGACAACUUCGUUACAGGAGAGGUCUGGAAGCUAAAACAAACUCUGGAGCUGCUUUUUGCCGUUAAUUAAGGGGUCUGGAAGCUAAAACAAACUCUGGAGCUGCCUUUUUUGCCGUUAAUUAAGAGGUCUGGAAGCUAAAACAAACUCCGGAGCUGCUUUUUGUCGAAUACGAGUGAGACUGGACACUGAACACACCUGCGGCGCGAAGGUUUACUUGGUUAGCUGCUGCAGCCUGGACAGAAACACCAGCUCUCACUUUACAAACCAAACAGGUGUCACCACUUAGUCCACGAUCACAGAGUCUUCGUACAAUGAAGUUCUUUGUUCUUUCAGGCCUCCAGGAUUCAAACACAGAGAAGAGACAGACAUGAAGACAUUUGCAGAAGGUCUUCAGCUGCUGUCGUCUUCUCCUGCAGAGACAAGAAAAUGUGUUAAUCACAGAAACAGAACAGAUCAAUAAAUCAUAAAUAUUUUUAUGACAUACUAUUCUGACAUUUUUUGUUUUUGUUUUUUUAUGCCCCACUAUACUGUGACAAUUUGUAGCUUACGACAAAGGAACUAUCUUAAAAUAGCCAUCUUACCUUUGUUUUCCACAUUCACACCUCUACACACUGUUGGUUGGUUGGAUUAGAUUUUCAUUUUGUUAUUUCAAAUAAUACAUAUCAGUACUCAAACCCAAUCUAUUACUGUGUACAUAGUCCUGUUUACAUUGUUCAAAUGGUGUAUUAUUUUUAUAUCUUGUCUUGCAUAUAUUAUACUGUUGCAACACUGAAUUUCCCCAUUGUGGGACUGAUAAAGGAUUAUCUUACUCAAAUAAAUACUUCUGAACACUGAAUAUUUUGCCAGGCUGUUGAAUAUUGUAUGAAAGUGAGUAUUUUUAA